GACGAACGCUGGCGGCGUGCUUAACACAUGCAAGUCGAACGGAAAGGCCCUGCUUUUGUGGGGUGCUCGAGUGGCGAACGGGUGGGUAACACGUGAGUAACCUGCCCUUGACUUUGGGAUAACUUCAGGAAACUGGGGCUAAUACCGGAUAGGAGCUCCUGCUGCAUGGUGGGGGUUGGAAAGUUUCGGCGGUUGGGGAUGGACUCGCGGCUUAUCAGCUUGUUGGUGGGGUAGUGGCUUACCAAGGCUUUGACGGGUAGCCGGCCUGAGAGGGUGACCGGCCACAUUGGGACUGAGAUACGGCCCAGACUCCUACGGGAGGCAGCAGUGGGGAAUAUUGCACAAUGGGCGGAAGCCUGAUGCAGCAACGCCGCGUGCGGGAUGACGGCCUUCGGGUUGUAAACCGCUUUCGCCUGUGACGAAGCGUGGGUGACGGUAAUGGGUAAAGAAGCACCGGCUAACUACGUG
rnacentral:rRNA from 1 species